rnacentral:rRNA from 1 species
CCUACGGGUGGCAGCAGUGGGGAAUAUUGGGCAAUGGGCGCAAGCCUGACCCAGCGACGCCGCGUGAGGGAAGACGGUCUUCGGAUUGUAAACCUCUUUCAGCAGGGAAGACAAAAGGACGGUACCUGCAGAAGAAGCCACGGCUAACUACGUGCCAGCAGCCGCGGUAAUACGUAGGUGGCAAGCGUUAUCCGGAAUUAUUGGGUUUAACGGGUGCGUAGGCGGAGCGUUAAGUCAGUGGUAAAAUUGAGGGGCUCAACCCCUUCCCGCCAUUGAAACUGGCGCUCUUGAGUGGAAGAGAAGUAUGCGGAAUGCGUGGUGUAGCGGUGAAAUGCAUAGAUAUCACGCAGAACCCCGAUUGCGAAGGCAGCAUGCCGGCUUCCUACUGACGCUGAAGCACGAAAGCGUGGGGAUCGAACAGGAUUAGAUACCCUGGUAGUC